GCCUUCGUGGUGUAGUGGUCAGCCCACUCGAUGUGUAACCGAGAGGUCGUGGUUCUAUUCCUGGCGAAGGCA
rnacentral:tRNA from 1 species